AAACAUAAAACGAAUGAACGGGUCAUAUUCUUAGACACGGAGGGUUACUAGGGUUAAUUUUGGAAGAGAUGGUAGAUGGAUAAUACCCCCGAGGAUGACAAUACAUGAGCCAGAUUAUACAAGAUCAAGAAUGUAAUUUAUAGCAAGAAUUGAAGAGGAAGGCUAGCUUUAGAUAAACAUUGGCGUCGUUACAAACUUAUCAUUAGAUUGAAGAUGGCAAAAG